CUAGAAAAACAGGACUCGAACCUGCAUUUGAGAA
rnacentral:tRNA from 1 species